GAUGAACGCUGGCGGCGUGCCUAAUACAUGCAAGUCGAGCGAACGGACGAGAAGCUUGCUUCUCUGAUGUUAGCGGCGGACGGGUGAGUAACACGUGGAUAACCUACCUAUAAGACUGGGAUAACUUCGGGAAACCGGAGCUAAUACCGGAUAAUAUUUUGAACCGCAUGGUUCAAAAGUGAAAGACGGUCUUGCUGUCACUUAUAGAUGGAUCCGCGCUGCAUUAGCUAGUUGGUAAGGUAACGGCUUACCAAGGCAACGAUGCAUAGCCGACCUGAGAGGGUGAUCGGCCACACUGGAACUGAGACACGGUCCAGACUCCUACGGGAGGCAGCAGUAGGGAAUCUUCCGCAAUGGGCGAAAGCCUGACGGAGCAACGCCGCGUGAGUGAUGAAGGUCUUCGGAUCGUAAAACUCUGUUAUUAGGGAAGAACAUAUGUGUGAGUAACUGUGCACAUCUUGACGGUACCUAAUCAGAAAGCCACGGCUAACUACGUGCCAGCAGCCGCGGUAAUACGUAGGUGGCAAGCGUUAUCCGGAAUUAUUGGGCGUAAAGCGCGCGUAGGCGGUUUUUUAAGUCUGAUGUGAAAGCCCACGGCUCAACCGUGGAGGGUCAUUGGAAACUGGAAAACUUGAGUGCAGAAGAGGAAAGUGGAAUUCCAUGUGUAGCGGUGAAAUGCGCAGAGAUAUGGAGGAACACCAGUGGCGAAGGCGACUUUCUGGUCUGUAACUGACGCUGAUGUGCGAAAGCGUGGGGAUCAAACAGGAUUAGAUACCCUGGUAGUCCACGCCGUAAACGAUGAGUGCUAAGUGUUAGGGGGUUUCCGCCCCUUAGUGCUGCAGCUAACGCAUUAAGCACUCCGCCUGGGGAGUACGACCGCAAGGUUGAAACUCAAAGGAAUUGACGGGGACCCGCACAAGCGGUGGAGCAUGUGGUUUAAUUCGAAGCAACGCGAAGAACCUUACCAAAUCUUGACAUCCUUUGACAACUCUAGAAAUAGAGCCUUCCCCUUCGGGGGACAAAGUGACAGGUGGUGCAUGGUUGUCGUCAGCUCGUGUCGUGAGAUGUUGGGUUAAGUCCCGCAACGAGCGCAACCCUUAAGCUUAGUUGCCAUCAUUAAGUUGGGCACUCUAAGUUGACUGCCGGUGACAAACCGGAGGAAGGUGGGGAUGACGUCAAAUCAUCAUGCCCCUUAUGAUUUGGGCUACACGCGUGCUACAAUGGACAAUACAAAGGGCAGCGAAACCGCGAGGUCAAGCAAAUCCCAUAAAGUUGUUCUCAGUUCGGAUUGUAGUCUGCAACUCGACUACAUGAAGCUGGAAUCGCUAGUAAUCGUAGAUCAGCAUGCUACGGUGAAUACGUUCCCGGGUCU
rnacentral:rRNA from 1 species